rnacentral:tRNA from 1 species
CGGGGCGUGGCUCAAGUGGUAGAGCGGGAGCUUUGGGUGCUCCAGGUUGUCGGUUCGAGUCCGGCCGCCCCGA